rnacentral:rRNA from 1 species
UCAAGUUAUUAAGGGUGCAGGGCGGAUGCCUUGGCACUAGGAGCCGAUGAAGAGGACGUGAUAAGCUGCGAUAAGCUUCGGGGAGUUGCACGUAAACUUUGAUCCGAAGAUUUCCGAAUGAGGAAACUCACUUAGAGUAAUGUCUAAGUAUCAUUAAGUGAAUACAUAGCUUAAUGAGGGGAACUCAGGGAACUGAAACAUCUAAGUACCUGAAGGAAGAGAAAGAAAUUCGAUUCCGUAAGUAGCGGCGAGCGAACGCGGAUUAGCCCAAACCAAUAAAGUUUUCUUUAUUGGGGUUGCGGACAUAUCAUAACGAAGAGGUAUCGUAAUUGAAGAGGUUUGGAAAGACCCACCACAGAAGGUAAUAGUCCUGUAUGUUAAACGAGAAGACUUUAGAUAUGAUCCAGAGUACCACGGGACACGUGAAACCCUGUGGGAAGCAGGAGGGACCACCCUCCAAGGCUAAAUACUACCUAGUGACCGAUAGCGUAUAGUACCGUGAGGGAAAGGUGAAAAGAACCCCGGGAGGGGAGUGAAAUAGAACCUGAAACCCUGCACUUACAAGCUGUGGAAGCACAUUUCUUGUGUGACCGCGUACUUUUUGUAGAACGGGCCAACGAGUUACGUUAAGUAGCAAGGUUAAGCACUUAAGGUGCGGAGCCGUAGCGAAAGCGAGUUUUAACUGAGCGUUCAGUUACUUGACGUAGACCCGAAACCGGGCGACCUACCCAUGAGCAGGAUGAAGCGAAAGUAAAAUUUCGUGGAGGUCCGAACCCACGAGCGUUGAAAAGCUCGGGGAUGACUUGUGGGUAGCGGUGAAAUUCCAAUCGAGCCCGGAGAUAGCUGGUUCUCCCCGAAAUAGCUUUAGGGCUAGCCUCAAGGUGAGAGAUACGGAGGUAGAGCACUGAAUGUCCUAGGGGGUAUUGCACCUACCGAAGACUAUCAAACUCCGAAUGCCGUCAUCUUAUACUUGGGAGUCAGACUGUGGGUGAUAAGAUUCAUAGUCGAAAGGGCAACAGCCCAGAUCGUCAGCUAAGGUCCCUAAAUGUAAGUUAAGUGGUAAAGGAUGUGGGAUUGCACAGACAACCAGGAUGUUGGCUUAGAAGCAGCCACUCAUUCAAAGAGUGCGUAAUAGCUCACUGGUCGAGUGAUCCUGCGCCGAAGAUUUCCGGGGCUAAAACUUACUACCGAAGCUACGGCAUCAGUAAUGAUGGGUAGGGGAGCUUCCCAUACGGGUUGAAGCAUGACCGUAAGGACAUGUGGACAGUAUGGGAGUGAGAAUGUUGGCAUGAGUAGCGAGAUGUGGGUGAGAAUCCCACAGGCCGUAAACCCAAGGUUUCCAGGGGAAGGUUCGUCCGCCCUGGGUUAGUCGGGACCUAAGCUGAGGCCGAAAGGCGUAGGUGAUGGACAACAGGUUGAUAUUCCUGUACUACCGAUAACCGUUUGAGAGAAGGGAUGACACAGUAGGAUAAGCUAAGCACACUGUUGGUUAUGUGUGCCCAAGCAUUGAGGCAGUCAAAGUAGGCAAAUCCGCUUUGAUAAUGCUGGGAUGUGAUGGGGAGCGAAAUUUAGUAGCGAAGUAGCUGAUUUCACACUGUCAAGAAAAGUCUCUAUCGAGGUUAAAGGUACCCGUACCGCAAACCGACACAGGUGGGUGAGGAGAGUAUCCUAAGGCCAGCGAGAGAACUGUUGUUAAGGAACUCGGCAAAAUGACCCCGUAACUUAGGGAUAAGGGGUGCCACCAUCAGGUGGCCGCAGAGAAUAGGCCCAAGCGACUGUUUACCAAAAACAUAGGUUUCUGCUAAGUCGCAAGACGAUGUAUAGGAGCUGACGCCUGCCCGGUGCUGGAAGGUUAAGGGGAUCUGUUAGAGCAAUCGAAGCAGUGAACUUAAGCCCCAGUAAACGGCGGCCGUAACUAUAACGGUCCUAAGGUAGCGAAAUUCCUUGUCGGGUAAGUUCCGACCCGCACGAAAGGCGUAACGAUUUGGGCACUGUCUCAACAACAGACUCGGUGAAAUUGUAAUUCCGGUGAAGAUGCCGGAUACCUGCGACAGGACGGAAAGACCCCAUGGAGCUUUACUGUAGCUUGACAUUGGGUCUUGGUACUACAUGUACAGGAUAGGUGGGAGGCUUUGAAACCAGGACGCCAGUUUUGGCGGAGCCAUCCUUGGGAUACCACCCUUGUAGUACUGGGACUCUAACCAUAGGCCAUGAAUCUGGUCUUGGGACACUGUCAGGUGGGCAGUUUGACUGGGGCGGUCGCCUCCCAAAAGGUAACGGAGGCGCUCAAAGGUUCUCUCAGUACGGUCGGAAAUCGUACGUAGAGUGUAAAGGCAAAAGAGAGCUUGAUUGCAAGACAUACAGGUCGAGCAAGGAUGAAAAUCGGACUUAGUGAUCCGGUGGUUCUGCGUGGAAGGGCCAUCGCUCAACGGAUAAAAGCUACCCUGGGGAUAACAGGCUUAUCUCCCCCAAGAGUCCACAUCGACGGGGAGGUUUGGCACCUCGAUGUCGGCUCAUCACAUCCUGGGGCUGUAGUAGGUCCCAAGGGUUGGGCUGUUCGCCCAUUAAAGUGGUACGCGAGCUGGGUUCAGAACGUCGUGAGACAGUUCGGUCCCUAUCCGUCGCAGGCGUAGGAAAUUUGAGAAGACCUGUCCUUAGUACGAGAGGACCGGGAUGGACGUACCUCUGGUGUACCAGUUGUCCUGCCAAGGGCAUGGCUGGGUAGCUAUGUACGGAAUGGAUAAGCGCUGAAAGCAUCUAAGCGCGAAGCCAACUUCAAGAUAAGAUUUCCCACCGCAAGGGUAAGACCCCAGAAAGACUAUCUGGUUGAUAGGUCGAAGGUGUAAGUGCAGCAAUGUAUUUAGCUUAUCGAUACUAAUAGGUCGAGGACUUGACCAA